GUUGUAUAGUCAAGUAAUUAAGUGCAUGUGGUGGAUGCCUUGGCAGUCAGAGGCGAUGAAAGACGUGAUAGCCUGCGAAAAGCUCCGGGGAGGCGGCAAAUAUCCUUUGAUCCGGAGAUGUCUGAAUGGGGGAACCCACCUACUUUAAGGUAGGUAUUGCAACAUGAAUACAUAGUGUUGCAAGGCGAACGAGGGGAAGUGAAACAUCUCAGUACCCUUAGGAAAAGAAAUCAAUUGAGAUUCCCUCAGUAGCGGCGAGCGAACGGGGAUCAGCCCAUUAAGUUAUGUGUGUUUUAGUGGAACGCUCUGGGAAGUGCGAACGUAGAGGGUGAUAUUCCCGUACACGAAAGGGCACACAUAAUGAUGACGAGUAGGGCGAGGCACGUGAAACCUUGUCUGAAUAUGGGGGGACCAUCCUCCAAGGCUAAAUACUCCUGACUGACCGAUAGUGAACCAGUACCGUGAGGGAAAGGCGAAAAGAACCCCUGUGAGGGGAGUGAAAUAGAUCCUGAAACCGCAUGCAUACAAGCAGUGGGAGCACCUUCGUGGUGUGACUGCGUACCUUUUGUAUAAUGGGUCAGCGACUUAUAUUCAGUAGCAAGGUUAACCGUAUAGGGGAGCCGUAGAGAAAUCGAGUCUUAAUAGGGCGUUUAGUUGCUGGGUAUAGACCCGAAACCAGGCGAUCUAUCCAUGAGCAGGUUGAAGGUUGGGUAACACUAACUGGAGGACCGAACCCACUGUCGUUGAAAAGCCAGGGGAUGACUUGUGGAUAGGGGUGAAAGGCUAAUCAAGCCUGGUGAUAGCUGGUUCUCCCCGAAAGCUAUUUAGGUAGCGCCUCGGACGAAUACCAUAGGGGGUAGAGCACUGUUUCGGCUAGGGGGUCAUCCCGACUUACCAAACCGAUGCAAACUCCGAAUACCUAUGAGUACUAUCCGGGAGACAGACUGCGGGUGCUAACGUCCGUAGUCAAGAGGAAAACAAUCCAGACCGCCAGCUAAGGCCCCAAAAUCAUAGUUAAGUGGGAAACGAUGUGGGAAGGCAUAGACAGCUAGGAGGUUGGCUUAGAAGCAGCCACCCUUUAAAGAAAGCGUAAUAGCUCACUAGUCGAGUCGGCCUGCGCGGAAGAUGUAACGGGGCUAAAACUAUGUGCCGAAGCUGCGGAUNUUGACAUUAGUCAAGUGGUAGGGGAGCGUUCUGUAAGCCGAUGAAGGUGUAUUGAGAAGUAUGCUGGAGGUAUCAGAAGUGCGAAUGCUGACGUGAGUAACGACAAAACGGGUGAAAAACCCGUUCGCCGAAAGACCAANGGGUUCCAGUCCAACGUUAAUCGGGGCUGGGUGAGUCGACCCCUAAGGCGAGGCCGAAAGGCGUAGUCGAUGGGAAAAUGGUUAAUAUUCCAUUACUUCUGUGUAAUGCGAUGAGAGGACGGAGAAGGCUAAAUCAGCCUGGCGUUGGUUGUCCAGGUGAAAGGAUGUAGGCAUGUAUCUUAGGCAAAUCCGGGGUACUCUAUGCUGAGAUCUGAUAGCAAGCUGUACUUGUACAGCGAAGUGGUUGAUGCCAUGCUUCCAGGAAAAGUCUCUAAGCUUCAGUUACACAGGAAUCGUACCCGAAACCGACACAGGUGGUCAGGUCGAGUAGACCAAGGCGCUUGAGAGAACUCUGCUGAAGGAACUAGGCAAAAUGGUACCGUAACUUCGGGAGAAGGUACGCUGUUGUUGGUGAUGGAACUCGCUUCCUGAGCUGACGACAGCCGCAGAAACCAGGCCGCUGCAACUGUUUAUUAAAAACAUAGCACUCUGCAAACACGAAAGUGGACGUAUAGGGUGUGAUGCCUGCCCGGUGCUGGAAGGUUAAUUGAUGGGGUUAGCGUAAGCGAAGCUCUUGAUCGAAGCCCCAGUAAACGGCGGCCGUAACUAUAACGGUCCUAAGGUAGCGAAAUUCCUUGUCGGGUAAGUUCCGACCUGCACGAAUGGCAUAAUGAUGGCGGCGCUGUCUCCAGCAGAGGCUCAGUGAAAUCGAAAUCGCUGUGAAGAUGCAGUGUACCCGCGGCUAGACGGAAAGACCCCGUGAACCUUUACUGCAGCUUGACACUGAACUUUGACCUUACUUGUGUAGNAAAACGUUGGACGCAUUAAAAAUAAAAAAAUAAUUCCAGUGGAGCCGUCCUUGAAAUACCACCCUGGUAAUGUUGAGGUUCUAACUCUGUCCCGUGAUCCGGGACGAGGACCNGAUAGGUGGGAGGCUUUGAAGCUGGAACGCUAGUUCCAGUGGAGCCGUCCUUGAAAUACCACCCUGGUAAUGUUGAGGUUCUAACUCUGUCCCGUGNNNNNNNNNNNNNNNNNNNNGCGCUCAGCGUGGUCGGAAAUCACGCGUAGAGUAUAAAGGCAAAAGCGCGCUUAACUGCGAGACCCACAAGUCGAGCAGGUACGAAAGUAGGUCUUAGUGAUCCGGUGGUUCUGUAUGGAAGGGCCAUCGCUCAACGGAUAAAAGGUACUCUGGGGAUAACAGGCUGAUACCGCCCAAGAGUUCAUAUCGACGGCGGUGUUUGGCACCUCGAUGUCGGCUCAUCUCAUCCUGGGGCUGAAGCAGGUCCCAAGGGUAUGGCUGUUCGCCAUUUAAAGAGGUACGCGAGCUGGGUUUAGAACGUCGUGAGACAGUUCGGUCCCUAUCUACCGUGGGCGCUGGAAAUUUGAGAGGAUCUGCUCCUAGUACGAGAGGACCAGAGUGGACGAACCUCUGGUGUACCGGUUGUGACGCCAGUCGCAUCGCCGGGUAGCUAUGUUCGGAAGGGAUAACCGCUGAAAGCAUCUAAGCGGGAAGCCUACCUCAAGAUAAGAUUUCCCUAGGACUUUAUGUCCUCUAAAGAGCCGUUCGAGACUAGGACGUUGAUAGGUUGGAUGUGGAAGCAUAGUGAUAUGUGAAGCUGACCAAUACUAAUUGCUCGUGAGGCUUGACUAUACAACACCCAAGCAGUUG
rnacentral:rRNA from 1 species